AGUGAACGCUGGCGGCGUGCUUAACACAUGCAAGUCGAACGAUGAAGCUCUAGCUUGCUAGAGUGGAUUAGUGGCGCACGGGUGAGUAAUGUAUAGCUAAUGUGCCCCUUAGAGGGGGAUAACAGUUGGAAACGACUGCUAAUACCCCAUACUCCUUCUUCCUAUAAGGGAAGUUGGGAAAGUUUUUUCGCUAAGGGAUCGGGCUAUAUGGUAUCAGCUUGUUGGUGAGGUAAUGGCUCACCAAGGCUAUGACGCCUAUCUGGUCUGAGAGGAUGAUCAGACACACUGGAACUGAGACACGGUCCAGACUCCUACGGGAGGCAGCAGUGGGGAAUAUUACACAAUGGAGGAAACUCUGAUGUAGCAACGCCGCGUGGAGGAUGACACAUUUCGGUGCGUAAACUCCUUUUAUAUGGGAAGAUAAUGACGGUACCAUAUGAAUAAGCACCGGCUAACCCCGUGC
rnacentral:rRNA from 1 species